rnacentral:rRNA from 1 species
UACGUAGGGGGCAAGCGUUGUCCGGAUUUAUUGGGCGUAAAGAGCGUGUAGGCGGUUAGGUAGGUCCGUUGUGAAAACUCGAGGCUCAACCUCGAGACGCCGAUGGAAACCAUCUAACUAGAGUCCGGAAGAGGAGAAUGGAAUUCCUGGUGUAGCGGUGAAAUGCGCAGAUAUCAGGAAGAACACCCGUGGCUAAGGCGGGUCUCUGGACAGUUCCUGACGCUGAGGCACGAAGGUCAGGGGAGCAAACGGG